GCAGAAGCUUCAAGCUUGCCCAAGUGGGCAGAGGGAUCCUGCUCCUGUCGUCACUGACAGGAUCCAGGGUCUUCUCAGCCACUGAGGUGGAGUACUUCUCCUUGCCCAGCUGUAUGAUGGUGUAGGCAUCGUUGCUGCCAUUUUUACCUUUCGGCUUCAGACCUUUGGCUUGAAGGACUGUAACUUGCACGCGGGUGUCUUACUUGAGCUUACUCAAAGGAACCCAAGACGAACGGAAUUAUUUUUAACUUGCUACAGCAGGAUUGCGUCAAGGACUCCAACGACCACAAUUUAGCUCAUAGUUGACAUUAAAUUAGGUCAUUUGUAUUUAGAAAGAUUUUUUUCCACCCUCCCCCCCCUCCUCUGGAAUGCUAAUUGAGUGAUGUAACAUCUCCAGUUCUGCUUCUGGCAGCAUUUUAUUUUCUUGUGCGCAGCCAGAGUCAUGCAAACUCUACCAAUAAAGUGAAUAAAGAUGACAUUAAUGCUUAA